CGUUUGCGGCGCCUCUUAUAUAGGGUGUCCCAAAAGUCUAAGUGCAGUUUUAAGAUUAUCAAAGCCUAAAACUGGACCAAGGCUUUUGGGACAACCUAUAUGUUUCCGUUGUACUGACUC
rnacentral:precursor_RNA from 15 species